UGGGGAAUUUUCCGCAAUGGGCGAAAGCCUGACGGAGUGACGCCGCGUGGGGGACGAAGGCCUUCGGGUCGUAAACCCCUGUCAGAGGGAAAGAAGGGUGUCGGCGUGAAUAGCGCCGGCAUCUGACGGUACCUUCAGAGGAAGGGACGGCUAACUCUGUGCCAGCAGCCGCGGUAAUACAGAGGUCCCGAGCGUUGUUCGGAUUCACUGGGCGUAAAGGGUGCGUAGGCGGUCGGGUAAGUCUGAUGUGAAAUCUCACAGCUUAACUGUGAAACUGCAUUGGAUACUAUUCGGCUUGAGGUCUGGAGGGGGGACUGGAAUUCUCGGUGUAGCAGUGAAAUGCGUAGAUAUCGAGAGGAACACCAGUGGCGAAGGCGAGUCCCUGGACAGGUCCUGACGCUGAGGCACGAAAGCUAGGGGAGCAAAC
rnacentral:rRNA from 1 species